GACGUCGAUAUUCGACGUCAUAAACACGAGCAACUUUGGUGUUUAUGACGUCGAUAUUCGACGUCAUAAACACGAGCAACUUUGGUGUUUAUGACGUCGAUAUUCGACGUCAUAAACACGAUCAACUUUGGUGUUUAUGACGUCGAUAUUCGACGUCAUAAACACGAUCAACUUUGGUGUUUAUGACGUCGAUAUUCGACGUCAUAAACACGAUCAACUUUGGUGUUUAUGACGUCGAUAUUCGACGUC
rnacentral:miRNA from 1 species